UGUCUGACAGCAGUAGGCUCUAUGCUCCCCCAGUUCAGCCCUGCCGUACAACACCUGGUCUUCAUGUUGUCGGAGGCUGAUCCCCAGCUGGCAGACACAGUGAGAAAGGAAUUUCCCGUCUCCGUCAGCCCAAGCUGAUCCACGAGCUCUCCUCUUCCUUCUCCAGACUCAGGUAUCCACAGUGGAUCCUGUUAUAUCCAUGGACUACCACACUGGGCAUACAGAGAGGUUGUAUACCAAUACACUUGGACUGUACUGUGAAAAACAUGAAAUGGUGUCCACUGUUUUAAUGUUUUGUUUUGUAGAUCAGGGUCUUUACAAAUGGAAAGGGGGGGAAAGAAGAUAAAACACAAUUAUUUGUUUGUUUAACUUGUUUAAAAUAAAAUGGUAUUGUUAUUUGAUAUCAUGUUUUAAACAAGUAGUAAUAUCUCUUAUGUGGCUAGAAAAGGAUCAUUACAUUGUAUAUUCCAAUGUGGUCCUACUGUAUUUUUCAAUGUUGGGUUGCAAAAUGAUGCUAACGUUCCUCACGUUCCCGGGUAUUCCAGAAAUCCUGCUCCUGAUUUCCUGCUUAAUCCCUCCUGAUUCCAGAGAACCUCCACCCGGGAUUUCUGGGAAAACAUGUUAAUUUUGGGGAAAGUUAUCACCAUUUUGCAGUCAUGUUUCUGUCAGUCUGUAGACAAGGAGAGCUUUUUCCAGCUCAUAACAGAUAAUUGAAUGGACUUAUUUACCCAGUCAACUUGUUGCUGUUUUUAAUAAAGAUAUGAAAUAUUCACUUGGA